AAUCCCGUAAUCGCAGCCUCGCCCCGCUCGCAUCUUCCUCUCCCUCUCAGCACUGGUGCUCAAUCUACAGGUUGUCCCGCUCCCUACACACCCGCCCUCCGGUGUGAACCUCCAUGACGUCCACAACCACUCUCCGGUAUGAAUCCCGCGUGCGCUUACACGAAGAUUGGUAAUAGUGGCGACCCAGUCGCAGCCGUGGACCUUCUCCUCCUCAUCGCUUGCUCGUUGUCGUCUUUUGCCUACGUCUGCACCCGACGCUGCUACCCUUCGCUCACCUGUUCAUCAUCCUUUCAGAUCUGCUGUCGUGACCUCAUCCAGCCGUGCUGUGGCAGUGGAUCGAAGUUCGCUCCAGCUCUGAUUGGGGGAAAAUGACUAGGGUAUCAAGUGGAAAAACAUAAUGGUCCAGGUUCUACUGCGGCACCUCUUUCAGGCUAAGCAUCUAAACAACAAUAUGUAAAUUAUCCUUUUCCAAUAAAAUACAUGCUUAAAUCGUGGCUGCUAGGCGAAUGGUCCUACUUUGGUCAUCAAAUGCAGGAAUUCCACUACUAUAUGUGCCACUUGAAGUUGUUAUGUCAAAAUAAUAUGGUGAAAACGAGCGUCUAUUGGGAUCUAUUUUUUAUCUUGCAAAUGAUCUUCCUGAAGGAGAUUGAUAUGUCAAGAUACGCUUGUUUCAUUUGAGCUCAAUGUUAUCUGAAAAUAUAUAGACUGCCUUCGUCCCCUUCAUCACUGCUAAUGACCGUGACUUGGAGACCCGACAGCGGCCCUCGACGUUGUCGCCGCCGAGCCCAUGCUGGUUCCACCAGUGGUCCACCACCCGGAUGUGGUCCGCCAAGACGAGCAGUAACGGUGGCAGCGAGGCGAGGUGGUAGAUCCAGCACCGCUUCUGCACGACCAUCCAUUCCUCCACCCAGAGCAUGUACCCAGGCUUGCCUCUCCUCGGGGAACAUGCCGAGGUCGUCCGACUGGAGCAGAAGGCGACAUCGCUCAACAAGCUGGUCGAGGAGCAGUGCGAGAGCAUAAACGAUCUCAAGUCCAAGAGCCAUCCGAUUCUGGGCCCAGAACACUUUGCCAAACAAAAAGUUAUCGCUCUUCAUCCUUGAUAGGCUACAGAAAGGGAAGCUGAACCUUGUUCUUCUGCCAUCAUCUAGCAUGCGGCUUACCUUUGUUUGUGAUGAUGGUUAUCCAGAGCAACUAGCUCUCUUGAGCAACGACUUUGAAUUUUCGGAAGUUAUGAUUGAAGAAAUAUCAGCUGAUAAUUCUGGACGCUCUUUCCUAAUCAGAAUUUCAGAAUCUAAAGUGUUUUACUACUGGUGUGCUGAGAAGUCGAAGGAAGAUUGAAUGGAACUUCUUGCAAAGGUCUUCAAGGGAGAAGCGGCUUAAAAUGUGUGAGCAGGUAUUUUCGGACUCGUACCAGAAAGGGAAAAGCUACAAAGGUUGACACAGCGCCGAAGCUGUGAAGCAGGAAAGCUUCGGCAUGUUCGCAGAAAAGGGAACCGACUUAAAGAUGAAAAGGCCAUUUAGACCUCGAUAGAGUGCUAUAGAAUUAUCACCAAAUGUAAAGGGCAUGUAUGUAAUUUUGUAUGGGUUGUACCCCGUGCCUAUAAAUAGGUGAACAGUACCCCCGUACUGUUCACGUUGACUUGGCAUUUGCUUUUGCGUCACACUUGUAUUUUCAUCUCCUUCCAAACCGAAGGUACAUUUAUAAUUUGAUAUUGUCUCUAUUUC